GGAGACAUCUCCCUAAGGAAUGAAAUCCUGUGAACACAAAGAAAGCUUCGUUGAUGGGACACUAACUUUUAAGAACCAGGAAGCAAGGAGUGGUGAACCAAUAUCAGGGUUUUCAAAGCUUCCUUAUCAAGAAGAGGGCUUCCUUGGAGACAUAGGAUUUACUGAAGGCAAUGGAGCUGGGGUGAUUUAUGUCAGCUGAGGAUCUAUCCCCCAAAUAUUAUCUUUGUGAAUAUACAUGCAACAAAUUAGCUAUGAACUGAAGUGCAUCCACACUAUAAAUUCGAGAACAGACACCCACAGGAACUGAGCUGAGACCAGAAAAUGGACACCCACAGGAACAGAAGAGAGGCACAUGGCAAAGCAAAAGAAAGAAAAAUAAAAUCCACAUGAACUCCAGUUACAAAAUCGCAGGACUAAGCUUCUUGAACUUUAUUAUCAGGUAAACUGAAGUGAGACUGAACAACUAUAUGAAGAAAAAAAAAUAUUUUUUCUAAAUCCAUUUUCUUUGGACUUGGUUAUGUUACAUUUACUCUUCCUAAGUAAUAGCUUAAGUCACUCAAUCAACAUCAGUGGGGCAGCGUUCAGCAUAAGAUAACAAUAUUGGUGAAAGCAGGUUUUCGUCUACGUUUUUCCUAAUGUUGAUUUUUGUUGCUUCCAACUGCCUCGGUAAGGUAACAGUUCGAUAUUUGUAUGCCUGUUUCUGACUACAUGGUAUCUCAGUGUUACUGUGGUUUCAUUACCAUAUCUUUUGUUGUGUGGGUUUCUAUUUCAAGAGGUUGAUCAAAAUUAAUAUGGUCCCUCUACCCAAUGGCAUUUAUUUUGGUUAUAAGAUUAGAAAUGUAAAUUUGCAAUAAAAGAAGAAAAUAGGAAGCUGUUUUUAAUGAAUAUUUUACACAUGACUAAUUAACAGAAUCCCCUACAGGAAUUUGGAAGUAAUAAGGAAUUGACUGAAAAUAAAUUAAAAAUUAAUAAAGGGGUCUCCAAACAACUUUGUUUAUGAGCAAUACCAGUUGCAUUCUUAGUUAUGAAUAUUUCAAGCUGUUUUGCUAUUCAGAAUGUAUUAUUCUUAGAGUGUUCAUAAUUUUAGAGGUGAUUAGACAAAAAAGGAGUAACACACAAAACAAAAUGUCUUGAAAUGAUAAAUCCUAC